rnacentral:rRNA from 1 species
UACGUAGGUGGCAGGCGUUGUCCGGAUUUACUGGGCGUAAAGGAUGCGUAGGCGGAUACUUAAGUCAGAUGUGAAAUUCCCGAGCUUAACUUGGGGGCUGCAUUUGAAACUGGGUAUCUAGAGUGCGGGAGAGGAAAGUGGAAUUCCUAGUGUAGCGGUGAAAUGCGUAGAGAUUAGGAAGAACACCAGUGGCGAAGGCGACUUUCUGGACCGUAACUGACGCUGAGGCAUGAAAGCGUGGGGAGCAAACAGG